ACGAACGCUGGCGGCGUGGAUCAGGCAUGCAAGUCGCACGAGAAAGACCCUUCGGGGUUGAGUAAAGUGGCAAAAGGGGUAGUAACAUAUAGAUAACGUACCCGACAGAUUGGGAUAACAGUUGGAAACAGCUGCUAAUACCGAAUACGAUUAGGGAUGCUAAGUGGAGCUGAGGAAAGCAGGGGACCUUUGGGCCUUGCGUCGAUAGAGUGGCCUAUUUUGUAUUAGUUAGUUGGCGAGGUAAGAGCUCACCAAGACGAAGAUGCAUAGGGGACCUGAGAGGGUGACCCCCACCACCGGAACUGAGAUACUGUCCGGACACCUACGGGUGGCUGCAGUCGAGAAUCUUCCGCAAUGGACGAAAGUCUGACGGAGCGACGCCGCGUGAGGGAUGAAGGCCUUCGGGUUGUAAACCUCUGACAAAUGUUAGGAAUAAGGCAACUUAAAUAUGGUUGUUGAUGACAAAGGCAUUAGAGGAAGUCACGGCUAAAUAUGUGCCAGCAGCCGCGGUAAUACAUAUGUGGCAAGCGUUGUUCGGAAUUACUGGGCAUAAAGAGUUCGUAGGCGGAACAAAAAGUUGGAUGUGAAAUCCCUGAGCUUAACUCAGGAACUGCAUUCAAAACUUUUGUUCUGGAGUCUUUGAGGGGAGAGUGGAAUUCCAGGUGUAGCGGUGAAAUGCGUAGAUAUCUGGGAGAACGCCAAUGGCGAAGGCAGCUCUCUGGCGAAUGACUGACGCUGAGGAACGAAAGUUAGGGUAUCGAACGGGAUUAGAUACCCCGGUAGUCCUAACCGUAAACGGUGAGCACUGUGUGGUGGUUGAUCUGAUUAAUCAUUGCAGUAGCAAAUGCGUUAAGUGCACCGCCUGGGUAGUACGAUCGCAAGGUUGAAACUCAAAGGAAUUGACGGGGGCUCACACAAGCGGUGGAGCAUGUUGCUUAAUUCGAAGCAACGCGAAGAACCUUACCUGGGCUUGAACUGUAGAGAUUAUCUCCAUGAAAGUGGAGUACGCCGCAAGGUGGAACCUAUAGAGGUGUUGCAUGGCUGUCGUCAGCUCGUGCCGUGAGGUGUUAGGUUAAGUCCUUUAACGAGCGGAACCCUUACCUUUAUUUACCAGCGGGUUAUGCCGGGAACUAUAGAGGGACUGCCGGUGUUAAACCGGAGGAAGGUGGGGACGACGUCAAGUCAUCAUGGCCCUUAUGUCCAGGGCUGCAAACGUGCUACAAUGGCGUGUACAGAAUGUUGCCAAAUCGCAAGAUGGAGCUAAUCAUCAAAGCACGCCUUAGUUCGGAUUGUAGGCUGAAACUCGCCUGCAUGAAGUUGGAAUCGCUAGUAAUCGGAGGUCAGCUAUACUCCGGUGAAUAUGUUCCUGAGCCUUGUACACACCGCCCGUCAAGG
rnacentral:rRNA from 1 species